rnacentral:rRNA from 1 species
AUUGGAUGGGGAGCAACCUAGUUGUGCGUGUGUAAAGGUAGUGCCAAGAAAAGCGAUGAUCAUGUUGAAAAUCAAUUCCCGGUACCCGAAACCGACACAGGUGGGCAAGUAGAGAAUACUAAGGGGCGCGAGGUAACUCUCUCCAAGGAACUCGGCAAAAUGACCCCGUAACUUAGGGAGAAGGGGUGCCACCGAGAGGUGGUCGCAGUGAAGAGGCCCAGGCGACUGUUUAGCAAAAACAUAGGUCUCUGCAAACUCGAAAGAGGAGGUAUAGGGGCUGACGCCUGCCCAGUGCCGGAAGGUUAAAGAAGUUGGUCAGUUUUAGGAUGAAGCUAGCGACUGAAGCCCCGGUGAACGGCGGCCGUAACUAUAACGGUCCUAAGGUAGCGAAAUUCCUUGUCGGGUAAGUUCCGACCCGCACGAAAGGCGUAACGAUCUGGGCGCUGUCUCGGAGAGAGGCUCGGCGAAAUAGGAUUGUCUGUGAAGAUACGGACUACCUGCAUUUGGACAGAAAGACCCUAUGAAGCUUUACUAUAGCUUGGAAUUGUGUUCGGGCUUCCUGUGCGCAGGAUAGGUGGGAGGCUUAGAAGGUAUUCUUGUGGGGAUACUGGAGCCAACGGUGAGAUACCACUCUCAGGAGGCUAGAAUUCUAACUUAAUUAAGGACAGUUUCAGGUGGGUAGUUUGACUGGGGCGGUCGCCUCCAAAAAGGUAACGGAGGCGUACAAAGGUUCCCUCAGACUGGUUGGAAAUCAGUCGAAGAGUGCAAAGGCAGAAGGGAGCUUGACUGCGAGAAGUACAGUUCGAGCAGGGUGGAAACACGGUCUUAGUGAUCCGACGGUGCUGUGUGGAAGGGCCGUCGCUCAACGGAUAAAAGUUACUCUAGGAUAACAGGCUGAUCUCCCCCAAGAGUUCACAUCGACGGGGAGGUUUGGCACCUCGAUGUCGGCUCAUCGCAACCUGGGGCGGAAGUACGUCCCAAGGGUUGGGCUGUUCGCCCAUUAAAGCGGUACGUGAGCUGGGUUCAGAACGUCGUGAGACAGUUCGGUCCAUAUCCGAUGUAGGCGUGAGAAUAUUGAGAGGAGCCUUCCUUAGUACGAGAGGACCGGGAAGGACGCACCGCUGGUGUACCUGUUAUGAUGCCAAUUGUAAACGCAGGGUAGCCAAGUGCGGAGAGGAUAACCGCUGAAAGCAUCUAAGUGGGAAGCCCACCUCAAGAUGAGUAUUCUGGUGUAAGGUCACGGGAAGACGACCCGUAAAUAGGCACGAGGUGGAAGUGCAGAGAUGUAUGAAGCCGAAGUGUACUAAUAGACCGUCGGCUUGACCAA